UGAUGACAAGGCUUCUGCAGCAAGUUAUACAUCACGACAGCCACUAUAAAAAUUCGCCUGCUCCACUAAUUCAAACUUAUGCUGGAGAAGAGCAUUCUAUUUAAUCUUCUUUUUAGCUCAAGGUGCUUCUUCGAGAUUGUGACGAAACGCAGAGCACACAAGAAACAUUAUUGUAUCAGCAGAAUUUCAUGUUGGUCUUUGGUAACAACAUAGUAUCCAACUUUUGCACUCUAUGGGUCUGAAUACAACAAAUACUCACUAUUAAAAAGGUCAGUCCCUCUGUAGCAUCAUCACUUGACUAGGCAUUCAUAGGAGUUUAGGGCAUUUCCAGGGGUAGUUUUAUGACCCUGGUAGUAGUAUGACCCUUCUGUACCAUGAACGUAAAAAAAUUCUCAUUAGAACCCGACUGAUCACCAUUUUGGCCUUUGGAAAUAUAGCUGAAAUAGUUGAAGCAUCUGACAAUAAUAACUUUAACCUCUUCCACAAUUAAAUGUAAAGAAAAUGAGAUCCUACAAAGGUGGGUCAUGAGGAAGCACUAAAUCUAAAACGGCAAGGAGUGAGAGCUCGAUUUUAAGGGCAAACAAUUUUUAUUUGAAUACAAAAAUAUUAGUACACAGUUUCACACCAAUGGGCAUCAUCUGAGAGCUCUGACCAAUACAAGGGUCGCACCAUAGGGCACACUUGUAGCACUAGAAGAUAAUACACCAGUGUCCUCCAUUCUGAACCUGAUAGGAAACCACAUUUGACGGUUGGUUGAGAUUUUUGCGUCGUACUGGGUGUUGGAUAUUCAUGGUUGUGUUAUGAUUACAAGACUCAGGCCCUGAACAGAUAAUGUGCUGGUGUGUGAACCUCAAACAGGCAACUGAGGAGCACUGUCUGGCCAGCACCUAACACGGGCCAGGCAAACAUAAGGGUCGUGCCGUGCGGCCAACCCCUAGAUCUGCCCACGUACACAGUGUUUACAAGAACGCGUUACCGACUAAUGGUAAUGUGAAUAUGACGUUACAGUGAACAAAAUGAGCUUCAAGGAACGAAAUCGAACUUGAGAAUCCCUUGUUUGUGAGCUGGUAAUUGGCAUGUCACCUCCACUAUAAAAAGACUCAAGCAGCGGAUCUCCACGCUACGCAACACAACAGCGACCUAGAACGCUGACCUACGGGUAUUUGCCAUAGCAGUGUGUUUGGGUUUUCAGCCGGUAAACUAGUGGAUUAUAAAACUGUAUUAUCAUCAUAACAUUGUCGUCGGUAUUCAUAACAUUACUAUGCUGAAUCGUAUGUAUCAUCUACGUAGCAAGCAAGGUCACCACAGAAACUUGCCGCAUUCUACAAACCAAUAGCGAAUAGCACAACAGAUUCAAACGUUUUCCGGUGAGAUUUAAGUUGAACGUAGUGACUUUACCGAACCUUACAGCUACAAACAUUAAUCUGGUGAAAGAACUCAGGCUCCUAAACUAUCAGUGAUGAGUCGGAAGAGCUUGCAACCAGAGGAAAACGAUACAAAUAAAGCCGUGAUUACCAAGUGUGCAACGGGUGGACUCAAAGACCUGUCCCCGUGACGAUCCCUUAGGUGUCUGUAAGCCCUGCACAGCGAUCACCUCGUCCACAACAGCAGAAUUAGAUAGACCCGUCAGUGCAGUGAUCCCUUUGGUGUUAGCAUACUUAACACAGGUACUAUACAGCAUGUACACAAGAUAUCACCUCAAGUAAUACAGUCUCGGCCAGUUACAGGCAACGGAACACAGUGGACAUUGUACUAGGUUAUAAGACCAUAGAUAAACGAGUGUAAAUCCCUGUAUCGCUGUAGAAGCAAGCAAGGUGUCAAACGUUAAUGUACAUGCUUACACCACCAAUGGGCCUUGACACAGUGGCGGAGACAGGUCUGAGAGUCUAAUGUACAUGAGGAAGGGAUCAUCAGCUCUCUGUCUGUACAUGUCACACGUCACCAAGAGCUGUUCCGAGGCCUACACACGGCGAACAAGGGCAUGCAGGGGAGCUUGGAGACCCUUACAGCGGCGGAGACAGGUCUGAGAGUCUAAUAUACAUGAGAGACCACCAAUCUCUGCCUCUAUAUGUUACACACACCGAAGGGCCGCUCACACACCCUUCCACAGUGGCCAAGACAGUAAACAGCUAACAAGGUCUAUCAACUACACUCAAAUACAAUCCAAAGCUGCAACAAAACAACACAGAUCUUCAAAUAAACCUUAGGGUAGUAGUGCAUUGUUCCCUGUACUCCGCAAUGAAGAUGAUGUAAUACUACCAGCAGUGGCAAAGGUUGAAACUCACACACCUACAUGGUCAAAGGAGGAAAAUGUAACCCUUUCGCAUUUCCUUACUUCCUGGCGUUCGCGUAAUAGAAGUCUUAAGUCCUGUGUUACUUACGGAGACGUUCUAAGCGGUAAAUAGCUGAGGGUAAUGAGCACUAUAGUAUGUCUCCUCUUUCUCACAUGCAUGAGUCUUAUAACACAGGCCAGUGACGUCAGGUAUGCCAUGCGGAACACCACUUGAGGUUUAGGUGGGACUAUAAAAUCCAUGCAAUACUGUCGCUGGGUGGGCCCGAGCUGCCGCACAACUACAGAUCUCAACUAACUGGACAAACUGUAUCAUUAACAACCACUAUGGUAAACCUGAUAUCUUACAUUACCAGAAACGUCCUAGAGAACUUGGCACAGCAUUGUUAUAGUACAUGAGUUUAGUCCUUACCAUAGAGAUCUACGAGAUACAAGAAGGGCGGGAAACCUCUCUAAAUAGACGAGCUUCCCUUGAUACUGUUAUAUGUGACCUAACCAUUAUGUAUCCUAAUGUAAUUGAAGCUUCCCCUGAUAUAUGCAACCUGAUUACUACACAUAAUUAAAAACUAUUACAUCUCAGUUUUUGUGACAGAAUCAAAUUUCUCAUUAUUGUAUUCAACUUAUUAUUUACAGACUCCAGAGUUACCAGCAGAAAAACAUCUAUGAUCCGAAAUCAAUUAUUCAUAUCUUACAAGCGCCUGGUACUGCAUCCAUGGCCAGGGGCGCUGCAGCUACAGGAGCAAGUGUGUGUGAAAGCAACGUUAACCUUGAGGGGCUAUUACACUGGGCAAAUUUUCCGUGGAUCUUCAGUCAAACCACGAUUUCCGCUAGCGUGGUUUUCAUUGGUUUCUUGUUAUUGCUGAUGAUGAUGAUGGUGAGUAAUACCAUCGUCCUUCAGUGAAAUCUACCAUAGCUUUGGAAGAUCGUGGACACGUCAGAAAACCACGGAAGUAUAAGAACCACGCCAGCGGAAAUCGUGGUUUGACUGAAGAUCCAAGGAAAAUUUGCCCAGCGUAACAGCCCCUUUACAGGAGAGUGUAUGCUGGGAAAAAACUGGUUCUGAUUAGCUUGAGGCAAGAUUAGUUUGCACAAUUCGGAAUGAAACAGCAGUCUCAAUUCCGAUUAUUUUCUUGCUCGCUUGAGACAAAUACACGACUAACAUUUGCAAUUAUUUUUUGGGGUUUGUUUGUGCUGAAUAUUUUAUUACUAAUCUCCAAUGAAUAUUCUUUGGGGGGAAUUCCCUCAGGAGCUGGCAAGAACACAGGGGCCGUCCACCACCACGGGAGGCACAGCCAGACUCCACAUGCACUCGGCAAGACUUGAACUGACCACUACAUCUAAGAGAAGAGGGAACAAGGACUUGACUAGAAUAAUCACUAUAUACUCAAGUUGAUCUCUUAAACUGCAAUAAGCGAAUGUUCUUAUGAGUUACGUAUGCGCAACAGAAUAUGAUUACAACUAACGAUUCAAUACAUUUUCUGGUCACCUAAUUUCCGGGGUCAAUUUACGCUCUCCUCUAUUCUGAAUACAUGCCCGGCGUUAUCUUAUCUCCCCAUGCUUCUUCUUGGCCUAACAUUGCUAUCUUGGAAGGAUUACAACACUUAGAGAUUGUAAUAAGGAAUCUCUCGCCCACCUCAACCAAAAACGUGGCUAUUAACUACGAAGGCUUCUCUUAAACCUAACGAUCUAUUUGUUCGAUGGUUCACUCCAUAUGUUUCCUCUGUAUGUUAUUUCAGUGGGUGUUACAGGAGAAGCGAUUUGCGGGCUUUUUUAUCAUUAGUUUUCUUUUUUACUGCCCUUGAGCUGUUUACUGUAAAAAAAAAAAAAAAAAAAAAAAAAUUCCGAUCGACAACUCAAGUCCACUAAGUCGUCAUGUGUUCCCAUCUAUUUGACGGCAACUUUAGUCAACUUUUUUUACGGCUAUGGACCAGUAGACACGCCAAUGGAGGUGGAAUGUAACCUGUGAAGAGUGAAUGGGCUGGAAUAUUAUGACCCUGACUGUGCUUCAUGCAAAUACCAGAUUUUUAUGAUGAUACUGAUGAAGAAUUUUAAUCCAACCCACAAAUUCAACGUCUAAACUUUUCCUUCAAUAUUUUCCUUUCCUCUCCAUAUCUCGCUUCAACCUUGGCGAUAGGAAGUUCCUCUGCUUAAAACCAUCAAAGAAAAUAUGUCAGGCCCGGGACAUGCUAAACGGGUGCUCAGUGCUAAAGUAACACUUGGUGAGGCAUAAGGAAGGACAUUUUUUUCUAGUUUGACAGGAAGUUCCUUUGCUUAUAACCGUCAAAAGAAGAAAUGUUAUGCCUGGGAUAGAUGCUAAACAGGUGCUGUGCUAGAGUAACAGUUUGUGAGGCAUUAGAAGAAGAAGCAAAAGGAAGAAGGACAUUUUUUAAAGUUUGAUCGUAAGUUCCUCUGCUUAGAAUCGUCAAAGAAAAUGUGUAAUGCCUGGGACAGAUGCUAAACAGGUGCUGUGCUAGAGUAACAGUUGGUGAGGCGUUUGAAGAGAGAUAUUUUUUUCUAGUUUGAUAGGAACCUCCUCUGGCGAGUUUCUCAGUGUUAAGCAAGUGUCUGGUGAAUGGCAAAGCUGCACACACACCAAACAUGAUGGUGUGUGCUGCAGACAUAAGUUUUUAGUGCAACACAUACAAAAAAACUGAGUACAAGUUCCUUCACCAGAGCCGUAUUUCAAUGUAAUCUCCCUCUACAGUUUACAAGGGAAGCUAAACGCAUGCUGCCCUAUAUGCUGAGGAGAAAGUCGAAGGUGUGAAAUGAGAACUCAGAAAAUGAGGUUACGAGAAACAUCCCUGGUCGCCAAGGUUUCAGCCCCCACGUGUCAAGUGUACAAAUUUAAGAUGAUAAAGUACUUCAGUCUCUCGUCACCAAGGUUUUCCCCUCACACAAGUUGAGAGUAGAGAUUUAACAUGACACAAUACUGAACUCUCGCCACUAAUGCUUCAGUCCUCGCAAGUGUCAAGUACAAAGAUUGAAGAUGAUACGAUACUUCAGUCUCUCAUCACCAAGGUUUCUCUCUCACACAAGUCUGGGAGUAGAGAUUUAACAUGACAAUAUUUUACUCUCGUCACCAAUACUUCAGCUCUCACAAGUGUCUGGGUGUAAUGAUUUAAGAUGACCAAAUUCUUUAGUAUUUCAUCACCAAGGCUUCAAACCCCACAUGUGUCUUAAGGUCCACACUGUCAAACUCUUCAUAGGCUUAGUCCAUAUUUCAAAAGGGUCUUGCGGAAGUUGUCGGCGUUUCUACGGGUGGGUGGUUUCUUGAGCCUGGUGGUGGUUCUGCAAGGCUUCCGUGCUGUGAACGGGACAAACACUCAUGACAAUCCGCUGUACCUCCUCUCUGGCCUUGAAAAAAGCGCGUAACAGAAGCCACGAAUGUUUGAUAGUACACAUGUGAGUGCCAAGAGUCAAACUAACCCGUCACGUUCUCCCAUAAGUUACGGAAGUCACAAGGAGGUACGUCACAACACUUAUUUCACAUGUACAAAGUCUUCUUCCGGCCAUGUUUCAGCCCACUACUGAUUGUCCCCUCCAGUUCGGUGUCGUAUGAAGCAAAGCAAUGUUACGAGAAUUAUCAACAGGGGAAUCUUGAGUCCAUCCCGUGACUAGUCCAUCGCUGGGUAUACGAUAAUGGUGCCAGGUUGAUUUCCACACACGCAACUAGUACCUUGUGUUUGUCUGCCUACCGUAGACAAGUACUGCCGUCCCUCAAAUAGUACGGUUUCCAAUAGUUCGGUUUUGGUUUUAUGUGGAUUUUCUAAGAAGAUUUUUUUGGAUUUUUAAAUUUCACGACAAGUAGGAAAUUUAAAAAUCCUGAAAGAUCU